rnacentral:rRNA from 1 species
AUUGAACGCUGGCGGCAUGCCUUACACAUGCAAGUCGAACGGCUGCAUGGCCCUUCCUGCUGGAUUCAUCGCCAGUCGGGUGAGUAAUGCUUAUGCAUCUGCCUGUUCGUGUUGGUUAAGGUUCGGAUACCGGCACUUAUACCGCUUCCGUCUUUUCUCUGAAGGUGAGGGCUGUUCGCCUCUCGGCCUUUCGGUUGAGCCUAGGUCGGAUUAGCUAGUUGGUGGGGUAAAGGCCUACCAAGGCGACGAUCCGUAACUGGUCUGAGAGGAUGAUCAGUCACACUGGAACUGAGACACGGUCCAGACUCCUACGGGAGGCAGCAGUGGGGAAUAUUGGACAAUGGGCGAAAGCCUGAUCCAGCCAUGCCGCGUGUGUGAAGAAGGUCUUCGGAUUGUAAAGCACUUUAAGUUGGGAAGAAGGGCAGUAAGUUAAUACCUGGCUGGUUUGACGGUACCAACAGAAGAAGCACCGGCUAACUUCGUG